rnacentral:rRNA from 1 species
CUACGGGACGCAGCAGUGAGGAAUAUUGCACAAUGGGGGGAACCCUGAUGCAGCAACGCCGCGUGGAGGAUGACGCAUUUCGGUGUGUAAGCUCCUUUUAUAUGUCAAGAAAAUGACGGUAGCAUAUGAAUAAGCACCGGCUAACUCCGUGCCAGCAGCCGCGGUAAUACAAGAGGGUGCAAGCGUUACUCGGAAUCACUGGGCGUAAAGGACGCGUAGGCGGGUUGGAAAGUCAGGUGUGAAAUCCUACAGCUUAACUGUAGAACUGCACUUGAAACUUCUAAUCUAGAGUAUGGGAGGGGGAGAUGGAAUUAGUGGUGUAGGGGUAAAAUCCGUAGAUAUCACUAGGAAUACCUAAAGCGAAGGCGAUCUCCUGGAACAUUACUGACGCUAAGGCGUGAAAGCGUGGGGAGCAAACAGGAUUAGAUACCCCUGUAGUC